rnacentral:tRNA from 1 species
AAUAGUUCAGUGGUAAAAGCAGUUGUCCGGAAAGCGAAAGAACUCGGGUUCGAUUCCCGAUU